rnacentral:rRNA from 1 species
GACGAACGCUGGCGGCGUGCUUAACACAUGCAAGUCGAACGAUGAAGCGGUACUUGUACCGUGGAUUAGUGGCGAACGGUGAGUAAUACGUGAGUAACCUGCCCCCUACUUUGGGAUAAGCCUUGGAAACGGGGUCUAAUACUGGAUAUUCCUGGUCUGCCGCAUGGUGGGUUGGGAAAGUUUUUUCGGUGGGGAUGGGCUCGCGGCCUAUCAGCUUGUUGGUGGGGUGAUGGCCUACCAAGGCGUCGACGGGUAGCCGGCCUGAGAGGGUGACCGGCCACACUGGGACUGAGACACGGCCCAGACCU